rnacentral:rRNA from 1 species
ACGGGUGAGUAAUGCCUAGGAAUCUGCCUGGUAGUGGGGGGCAACGUCUCGAAAGGGACGCUAAUACCGCAUACGUCCUACGGGAGAAAGCAGGGGACCUUCGGGCCUUGCGCUAUCAGAUGAGCCUAGGUCGGAUUAGCUAGUUGGUGAGGUAAUGGCUCACCAAGGCGACGAUCCGUAACUGGUCUGAGAGGAUGAUCAGUCACACUGGAACUGAGACACGGUCCAGACUCCUACGGGAGGCAGCAGUGGGGAAUAUUGGACAAUGGGCGAAAGCCUGAUCCAGCCAUGCCGCGUGUGUGAAGAAGGUCUUCGGAUUGUAAAGCACUUUAAGUUGGGAGGAAGGGUUGUAGAUUAAUACUCUGCAAUUUUGACGUUACCGACAGAAUAAGCACCGGCUAACUCUGUGCCAGCAGCCGCGGUAAUACAGAGGGUGCAAGCGUUAAUCGGAAUUACUGGGCGUAAAGCGCGCGUAGGUGGUUUGUUAAGUUGGAUGUGAAAGCCCCGGGCUCAACCUGGGAACUGCAUUCAAAACUGACAAGCUAGAGUAUGGUAGAGGGUGGUGGAAUUUCCUGUGUAGCGGUG